rnacentral:rRNA from 1 species
CAAUCACUUGUCUUUUAAAUGGAGACCCGUAUGAAUGGCAUAACGAGGGCUUAACUGUCUCCUCUUUCAAGUCAAUGAAAUUGAUCUUUCCGUGCAGAAGCGGGAAUUUAAACAUAAGACGAGAAGACCCUAUGGAGCUUUAGACACCAAAGCAGCUUACGUUAAGCACCCCCAAUAAGGGCCUAAACCAAGUAAGCCCUGCCCUACUGUCUUUGGUUGGGGCGACCGCGGGGCACUAAAUAACCCCCACGUGGACCGGGAGGACUCCUCCUACAGCUAAGAGCUACAGCUCUAGUAAACAGAAUUUCUGACCAAUAAGAUCCGGCAACGCCGAUCAACGGACCGAGUUACCCUAGGGAUAACAGCGCAAUCCUCUUUUAGAGCCCA